rnacentral:rRNA from 1 species
UGCUAUACAUGCAGUCGAACGCUUCUUUCCUCCCGAGUGCUUGCACUCAAUUGGAAAGAGGAGUGGCGGACGGGUGAGUAACACGUGGGUAACCUACCCAUCAGAGGGGGAUAACACUUGGAAACAGGUGCUAAUACCGCAUAACAGUUUAUGCCGCAUGGCAUAAGAGUGAAAGGCGCUUUCGGGUGUCGCUGAUGGAUGGACCCGCGGUGCAUUAGCUAGUUGGUGAGGUAACGGCUCACCAAGGCCACGAUGCAUAGCCGACCUGAGAGGGUGAUCGGCCACACUGGGACUGAGACACGGCCCAGACUCCUACGGGAGGCAGCAGUAGGGAAUCUUCGGCAAUGGACGAAAGUCUGACCGAGCAACGCCGCGUGAGUGAAGAAGGUUUUCGGAUCGUAAAACUCUGUUGUUAGAGAAGAACAAGGACGUUAGUAACUGAACGUCCCCUGACGGUAUCUAACCAGAAAGCCACGGCUAACUACGUGCCAGCAGCCGCGGUAAUACGUAGGUGGCAAGCGUUGUCCGGAUUUAUUGGGCGUAAAGCGAGCGCAGGCGGUUUCUUAAGUCUGAUGUGAAAGCCCCCGGCUCAACCGGGGAGGGUCAUUGGAAAC